AGCGUCUUGGAACAGCUUGGCAGUUCGUCGGGCUCAUAUUCCAGCGAUGGAACGCGACCCGAAAGUCCCUGGAUCGAGACCAGGAGACGCUA